GCUUGGACUUAAGUUGUAGCUUGCCUGCUAGCCCUUCGUUUUCGCUACGUGACAAGUUGCUUUGUGAAGAGAAGAGCUGACACAAACGUUAAUGGUCGCUAAACGUUGAUGGUAGCUUAAGUGAAUUUGCUUCAAAUUCCAAAAAGUCUGUUUCAUGUCGAUGCAUAGUGUAUGUAGUGGUUUCCUUAAGUAAAUAAAAUCUCAAGUGAAUAAAAUAUUUUUGAAAGUUUAUAACUGUACAUAUAAGGCAUAUAACUGCCUACAUUUAAAAAGGAAAUGUUAUUUUUGACAAGCGGUUAUGCCGUAUGCAUUUACAAUUCAUAUGUGAAUUCAAAACUAAUGUAAAUAAUGGCAUUGCUUUUGCAGAUGUCGGCAGCUUGCUUUCAAACAUCGCCAUGGCUAUUAUAAAACAAAAACAAGAUCAAACAAUUUAGCUCAAGGAGUGGCAUGUGAAAAGACUCCAAGCCUGGAGAAAAGAGGAGCAUCUGCAUUAAAAACUGACCGGACU